AUUGAACGCUGGCGGCAGGCUUAACACAUGCAAGUCGAGCGGGGUGAUGGUGCUUGCACUAUCACUUAGCGGCGGACGGGUGAGUAAUGCUUAGGAAUCUGCCUAUUAGUGGGGGACAACAUCUCGAAAGGGAUGCUAAUACCGCAUACGUCCUACGGGAGAAAGCGGGGGAUCACUUGUGACCUUGCGCUAAUAGACGAGCCUAAGCCGGAUUAGCUAGUUGGUGGGGUAAAGGCCUACCAAGCCGACGAUCUGUAGCGGGUCUGAGAGGAUGAUCCGCCACACUGGGACAGGGAGACGGCCCAGACUCCUACGGGAGGCAGCAGUGGUGAAUAUUGGACAAUGGGGGGAACCCUGAUCCAUCCAUGCCGCGUGUGUGAAGAAGGCCUUAUGGUUGUAAAGCACUUUAAGCGAGGAGGAGGCUCUUUUGGUUAAUACCCAAGAUGAGUGGACGUUACUCGCAGAAUAAGCACCGGCUAACUCUGUGCCAGCAGCCGCAGUAA
rnacentral:rRNA from 1 species